UACAGAGGGUGCGAGCGUUAAUCGGAAUUACUGGGCGUAAAGCGUGCGUAGACGGUUAUUUAAGUCGGGUGUGGAAGCCCCGGGCUCAACCUGGGAAUUGCAUUCGAGACUGAAUAGCUAGGGUACGGUAGAGGGAAGUGGAAUUUCCGGUGUAGCGGUGAAAUGCGUAGAUAUCGGAAGGAACAUCAGUGGCGAAAGCGACUUCCUGGACCAGUACCGACGUUCAGGCACGAAAGCGUGGGGAGCAAACAGG
rnacentral:rRNA from 1 species